GUCUCUGGCUAUACUACCCUGAAUGCACCCAGCCUUGUUUGAACUCAGCAGCGAAGCCAGGUCAGGCAGGGUUGGUGUUUGGAUAGGAAACUGCCUAAGAUUUCUACAUCCUCUAGCAUCU
rnacentral:rRNA from 1 species